rnacentral:rRNA from 1 species
ACUCCUGCGGGAGGCAGCAGUGGGGAAUAUUGGACAAUGGGCGCAAGCCUGAUCCAGCCAUGCCGCGUGAGUGAUGAAGGCCCUAGGGUUGUAAAGCUCUUUCACCGGUGAAGAUAAUGACGGUAACCGGAGAAGAAGCCCCGGCUAACUUCGUGCCAGCAGCCGCGGUAAUACGAAGGGGGCUAGCGUUGUUCGGAUUUACUGGGCGUAAAGCGCACGUAGGCGGACUAUUAAGUCAGGGGUGAAAUCCCGGGGCUCAACCCCGGAACUGCCUUUGAUACUGGUAGUCUUGAGUUCGAGAGAGGUGAGUGGAAUUCCGAGUGUAGAGGUGAAAUUCGUAGAUAUUCGGAGGAACACCAGUGGCGAAGGCGGCUCACUGGCUCGAUACUGACGCUGAGGUGCGAAAGCGUGGGGAGCAAACAGGAUUACAAACCCCUGUAGUCCCA